UAACACAUGCAAGUCGAACGGACGAUGAAGAGCUUGCUCUUCAGAGUUAGUGGCGGACGGGUGAGUAACGCGUGGGUAACCUGCCUCAUACAGGGGGAUAGCAGCUGGAAACGGCUGAUAAAACCGCAUAAGCGCACAGCAUCGCAUGAUGCAGUGUGAAAAACUCCGGUGGUAUGAGAUGGACCCGCGUCUGAUUAGCUAGUUGGUGAGGUAACGGCCCACCAAGGCGACGAUCAGUAGCCGGCCUGAGAGGGUGACCGGCCACAUUGGGACUGAGACACGGCCCAAACUCCUACGGGAGGCAGCAGUGGGGAAUAUUGCACAAUGGGGGAAACCCUGAUGCAGCGACGCCGCGUGAAGGAAGAAGUAUCUCGGUAUGUAAACUUCUAUCAGCAGGGAAGAUAAUGACGGUACCUGACUAAGAAGCCCCGGCUAACUACGUGCCAGCAGCCGCGGUAAUACGUAGGGGGCAAGCGUUAUCCGGAUUUACUGGGUGUAAAGGGAGCGUAGGCGGCGGAGCAAGUCAGAAGUGAAAGCCCGGGGCUCAACCCCGGGACGGCUUUUGAAACUGCCCUGCUUGAUUUCAGGAGAGGUAAGCGGAAUUCCUAGUGUAGCGGUGAAAUGCGUAGAUAUUAGGAGGACACCAGUGGCGAAGGCGGCUUACUGGACUGACAAUGACGCUGA
rnacentral:rRNA from 1 species